rnacentral:rRNA from 1 species
CAAUAGCGUAUAUUAAAGCUGUUGCGGUUAAAAAGCUCGUAGUUGGAUUUCUGUCAAGGACAACUGGUCCGCCCUUCGGGUGAGCACAUAGUUUGGUCUUGGCAUCUUGCUGGAAGCUGUUGCUGCACUUGGCUGUGUGGCGCAGCGUCCAGCACUUUCACUUUGAGGAAAUUGGAGUGUUUCAAGCAGGCACAUGCCUUUGGACACAGUAGCAUGGAAUAAUUAGAUUGGGCUUUUGCUCCAAUUUGUCGGUUUCUGGAGCUGAGGUGAGAAUUAAUGGGGAUUGUUGGGGGCAUCCGAAUUUAGCCGUCAGAGGUGAAAUUCUUGGAUCUGCUAAAGACGGACAACUGCGAAAGCGUUUGCCCAGGAUGUUUUCAUUG